UACAGAGGGGGCAAGCGUUAUUCGGAAUUAUUGGGCGUAAAGGGCGCGUAGGCGGCGAUUCAAGUGACGGGUGAAAUCUCUCGGCUUAACCGAGGAACUGCCUGUCAGACUGGGUUGCUUGAGACCGGGAGAGGCGAGUGGAAUUCCGAGUGUAGAGGUGAAAUUCGUAGAUAUUCGGAAGAACACCAGUGGCGAAGGCGGCUCACUGGACCGGUAUUGACGCUGAGGUGCGAAAGCGUGGGGAGCAAACAGG
rnacentral:rRNA from 1 species